rnacentral:rRNA from 1 species
UUUUUCAGAGAUUGAGAAUGUGCCUUCGGGAACCGUGAGACAGGUGCUGCAUGGCUGUCGUCAGCUCGUGUUGUGAAAUGUUGGGUUAAGUCCCGCAACGAGCGCAACCCUUAUCCUUUGUUGCCAGCGGUCCGGCCGGGAACUCAAAGGAGACUGCCAGUGAUAAACUGGAGGAAGGUGGGGAUGACGUCAAGUCAUCAUGGCCCUUACGACCAGGGCUACACACGUGCUACAAUGGCGCAUACAAAGAGAAGCGACCUCGCGAGAGCAAGCGGACCUCAUAAAGUGCGUCGUAGUCCGGAUUGGA